UUCUGGACUCCAGAGACAAAGCACUAAACCAAACCUGCUGAUAUAAAAAGUGGAAUUUUUUUAAUGGACUGAUGGAAUCAUAACAACAGACGUUUUUUUCAACGUGAAGGUCAAAAGGUCACAUGUCCAUGUUUGGAUUAUGAUCUGAUGGACGACGACUCGUCUAAACUGAGGUGGGGAGCUUCCUCUGCUUCGGUCCCUCCUCCUCUUCUUCAUCUUCAUCUUUCUUCAGCUGACGAACGUGAAUUAAAACAACACUGGUUGGAAACACGCAGCUGAGACGUCUUCAGAUCAGAACUCUGAGGGGCAUCGUGAAUCAUCGUGUGUUUACGUGUUCCAGAUGUUUCCCAUGUUCAAACCACAACUUAUGACUGCACGUCUGGAGAGUAACACAUGGAAACAGAGGACAACAAGUUGAACUCAACCAACAACACUGAUCUGAAACAUGGGAACAACAACAAACACAACAACAACAACUCAUCGAUAUCAAGUUUACUCAAAUAAUUCUGUUCGACCACUGGGGUGAGUUUAUAAAUCUAUAUUUUUAAAGUAUCAUACUGUUAUUUUUUAUAUUGAGAAAAAUCGGUUAACUUGUGAAUUAUUUAGUAAAUCUUUGCAGAAGCAUUUAAAUUUUUUAUUUUCACUUCAGUAAAAACAAACGAGCUCGGAUGAGAACUCGUGUUUUGAGCUGAAACACGAGCGAAGCAGCAGAAAUGAAACUCAUCGCACACACCGACACUUUUUGGAUAAUUCUGAAUGUUUCUGAUUGUGUUUUUUAUGUUUGUUUUUUUAUCAGAACGCUGUAAAAUCUGUUAAAUCAUAAUCAUCUACCUCAGUGUUUGCUCUUUGUCGACAGAAGCUUUAAUGACGUCAUCUGAACACAGCCGUCAGACCUGAGGUUUUUAUGUCUCUGUGAUUUUCUGGUGCAACUAAAGUUGAAUAAUCGAUAAACUGCCGUUUAGUAAGUUAGAAAAAGAAAAUGUAUUAUCAUCAAAUGAACUGGGUUGUAUAAUCUUGGUUUUUUAUAUUUUCUUUGCACAUUUUAUUAACUUAUUUUUCAAAGUCAGUGUGAUUGAAUGUCAGUGAUAUUGAAUCAAAAGGCAAUAAUGUACUGCAGAUGGUUUCCUGCCAUCGAACCAAGGGGGCGGAGUCAGUUCCUCACAAAGCUUCAUAAGAUUUAAUCUUUACUGAAACAUAUCUUGACGAGCGAUGGUGUAAAUUCAGUUUACGGUUUUUAACUUUACUCAGAAAAACACAUUUGAAGUUGAUGAUGAUUUUUUUUGUGAGACACAAAGUUCAGACGAUUAAAGGAAAAGUUUCACAUUUUGGGAAAUCAUAUCCAGGUUAUGGAUAUUUGAACAACAGCACGACCUUUCCCCUUUCGUCGUUAAACAUGAGUUUGUCCACUCUCUGGUCGUCAGUGAGGAGAAGUGGAGGUUUGAGCCGUCGCUGGACGUGAGCUGCUGGUUGUUCUGCAUACUGUGUGUGCAUUAAUUAUAAUAUCAUUAAUAAUGACAGACUUCCACAAAUCCACCUCAAUCAGUUUUCAUCACAUCUUAUUCUCAUGCUUCAUCCUCAGACCUUUUCACCAAACUCUCUCAUUUCAUGUAGAGACGAGACAAAGCAACAGAGCGAGAGCUUCAGAGCUGAAGCUGCUUCCUGCUUUUCAUUUGCACCUUUUGAUUAUUGCCAUGUUUAUUUUGACAAUCCUCAAUUGUGAUCUAUUUUUGAUAAAAUAAAACUUCAAUCAGU